GAUGAACGCUGGCGGCGUGCCUAACACAUGCAAGUCGAGCGGGAUUUUCCGGAUUGAAGCUUCGGCAGAUUGAAGGAAAUGAGAGCGGCGGACGGGUGAGUAACGCGUAGGCAACCUGCCCUUUGCAGAGGGAUAACCAUUGGAAACGAUGAUUAAAACCUCAUAAUGCCACGAAGUGACAUCGCUUUGUGGCCAAAGAUUUAUCGGCAAAGGAUGGGCCUGCGUCUGAUUAGCUAGUUGGUGGGGUAACGGCUCACCAAGGCGACGAUCAGUAGCCGACCUGAGAGGGUGAUCGGCCACAUUGGAACUGAGACACGGUCCAA
rnacentral:rRNA from 1 species